rnacentral:rRNA from 1 species
GAUGUGGAGUAAAACUUAGAAAAGACGACCUCAGUUCGGAUUGAAGGCUGAAAUUCGCCUUCAUGAAGUCGGAAUUGCUAGUAAUGGCAGGUCAGCAUACUGCCGUGAAUACGUUCCCGGGCCUUGUACACACCGCCCGUCACACCAUGAGAGUUGGAGAUACCCGAAGCCUAUGAGCUAACUUUUAGAGGCAGUAGUCGAAGGUAGAAUCAAUGAUUGGGGUGAAGUCGUAACAAGGUAUC